UACGUAGGGGCUAGCGUUGUCCGGAAUCAUUGGGCGUAAAGCGCGCGUAGGCGGCCCGGUAAGUCCGCUGUGAAAGUCAAAGGCUCAACCUUUGAAUGUCAGCGGAUACUGCCGGGCUAGAGUCCGGAAGAGGCGAGUGGAACUCCUGGUGUAGCGGUGGAAUGCGCAGAUAUCAGGAAGAACACCAACGGCGAAGGCAGCUCGCUGGGACGGAACUGACGCUAAGGCGCGAAAGCGUGGGGAGCGAACAGG
rnacentral:rRNA from 1 species